rnacentral:rRNA from 1 species
UACGGGGGGGGCAAGCGUUGUUCGGAAUUACUGGGCGUAAAGGGCUCGUAGGCGGCCACCGCAAGUCGACUGUGAAAUCUCCGGGCUUAACUCGGAAAGGUCAGCCGAUACUGCGGGGCUAGAGUGCAGAAGGGGCAACUGGAAUUCUCGGUGUAGCGGUGAAAUGCGUAGAUAUCGAGAGGAACACCUGCGGCGAAGGCGGCGACCUGGGUCGAUACUGACGCUGAGGUGCGAAAGCGUGGGGAGCAAACAGG